CCCUUGAAUUCCUGAUAUCAUUCCUAUGCUAUGCUUUCAGGUGGGAAGUUUUUGAGAUUAUUAUGCUUAUCUUGGAAAUUGCAAAAUGUAAGAACUCUCACACAAUCGCAGCAAAAAUAUUGUUGGAAGAAAAUGUUUCAAAGAAACUGGAUAUUCUGUCACUAAAAAAUGAUUUUGCUCGUUGAAAGAUAUCUGAAAGAUGCCAGACAGCCAACACAGCCAGACAGAAGAAAGGGAUGUAUCGGGAGAAGAGGUUUGAGAAUUCCUAGUGUAGAAUAUAGUAUAGUGCACGUGUCAUUGCAUUGGAAUAUAAUUCUCAAGAAUAUAAGUUGUGUGUACCGUGUUAG